rnacentral:rRNA from 1 species
AACGAACGCUGGCGGCAGGCUUAACACAUGCAAGUCGAACGGUUGUAGCAAUACAGCAGUGGCGCACGGGUGAGUAACGCGUGGAUAUCUGCCUUUUGGUUCGGAAUAACUCCGGGAAACUGGAGCUAAUACCGGAUGGUUCCUGCGGGAUAAAGAUUUAUCGCCAAAAGAUGAGUCCGCGUACGAUUAGCUAGUUGGUGAGGUAAUGGCUCACCAAGGCGACGAUCGUUAGCUGGUCUGAGAGGACGAUCAGCCACACUGGGACUGAGACACGGCCCAGACUCCUACGGGAGGCAGCAGUGGGGAAUAUUGGACAAUGGGGGGCAACCCUGACGCAGCCAUGCCGCGUGAACGAUGAAGGCCUUAGGGUUGUAAAGUUCUUUUACCCGUGACGAUGAUGACGGUAACGGGGGAAUAAGCUCCGGCUAACUUCGUGCCAGCAGCCGCGGUAAU